AGGGGCACUCUGUGUGUGUGUGUGUGUGUGUGUGUGUAUCUAUCUAUCUAUAGAUAGAUAGAUACACACACACACACACACACAGAGUGCCCCUUG